rnacentral:rRNA from 1 species
CAAUAGCGUAUAUUUAAGUUGUUGCAGUUAAUAAGCUCGUAGUUGGAUUUCGGGUGUGAACGACCGGUCCGUCUUUGAUGUGUACUGGUUGGUUGCGCCUUAUUGUCGAGGACGUGGUUCUAGCUUUCAUUAGCCGGGACACGGAGUCGGCAGCGUUACUUUGAGAAAAUUAGAGUGUUCAAAGCAGGCUAUCGCUCUGAAUACUACAGCAUGGAAUAACACGAUAGGACUCCGAGCCUAUUCUGUUGGUCUUCGGGACCGGAGUAAUGAUUAAGAGGGACAGUUGGGGGCAUUCGUAUUCCGAUGUCAGAGGUGAAAUUCUUGGAUUAUCGGAAGACGAACAUCUGCGAAAGCAUUUGCCAAGGAUGUUUUCAUUGA